GGUUAAUAUUCCUGUACUUGGUGUUACUGCGAAGGGGGGACGGAGAAGGCUAUGUUAGCCGGGCGACGGUUGUCCCGGUUUAAGCAUGUAGGCGGGAAGUUUAGGUAAAUCCGGACUUCUUUUAACGCUGAGGUGUGAUGACGAGGCACUACGGUGCUGAAGUAACAAAUGCCCUGCUUCCAGGAAAAGCCUCUAAGCAUCAGGUAACACGAAAUCGUACCCCAAACCGACACAGGUGGUCAGGUAGAGAAUACCAAGGCGCUUGAGAGAACUCGGGUGAAGGAACUAGGCAAAAUGGUGCCGUAA
rnacentral:rRNA from 1 species